UCUCCGUUGGUGAACCAGCGGAGGGAUCAUUACAGGGUUGCAAAACUCCCAAACCAUUGUGAACGUUACCUAUCCCGUUGCUUCGGCGGGCGGCCCGGGCCCCGCGCCCGGCGCCCCCCGGCCCCCCGUGGGCGCCCGCCGGAGGUAAACCAAACCCUUGAAUUGCAUGGCCUCUCUGAGUCUGCUGUACUGAAUAAGUCAAAACUUUCAACAACGGAUCUCUUGGUUCUG
rnacentral:misc_RNA from 1 species